GAGAAAAGGCCUUUUCUUGGCACAUCCCCAAAUGACCGGUUGUCAUGUAGAUGGCUUCCAAUGGUUGUUAUGGAGACUUGGCGACCCCCAACAUGCCGCCCCAUGAUGCAGUUCUGCAGCCGAGUUUCUCUUUGGCUCCCAUUUGACAUCCUGCUCACUGUGUCUCUGAACACAGAUUUGUAUAUUUGCCCUCUAUGCUAUAUUUACAGUCUAUAAAGAAUCUCUUUAGAUGCUCCAGUGAACGUUGGUAGCAGCGUUCACGGUGAACAAUCUGACACAAUCAGCGCUGCAAACCUGCCCGUGCAGACGUGAGAUGCAACACACCUUCAGAGUUCAUUAGAAGCCUCUGGAGCAGAGGCAGAUGCUGCGAAUGACAGACUAAACAAUCAGCAGCAAACACAGACAACAAAUACAGCGAAGACGCUGCUGCGCAUGCCGAAUGAGCUUCUGGAGGGCGGCACUCGCAUCUGGAUGUUGAUCACAAACCGUGAAGCAACAAUGCGCUCUGGAGGCGGGGCAAUGGGUUCUGAAAUGAUCUCAUCAAGAGCAGUGAAAAGGACAAAGUAACACCGAAGACACUCUAAUCAGAUAUUCAACAUUAAUGGAAGCGAAUACAAAGGAUCUCCAGAACAUCUGGGUUGCCCGGGAGAAUGGCGUCGCCAAUUACCUCGGUCCAUCUGUGAUGAAGUCCCCUCAGCCAGAGCAGGUGCCAUAACGAGUGUCACUGAACACAGUCAGCGUCUAAUGGUUGGUAAACUGCACAAACAGAUCGCCCGCAACAUUAAAAACCACUGAGAGAAGAAAUGAUGAAUGCUGA